rnacentral:rRNA from 1 species
UAAAGAUUCACCGCUGAUAGAUAGGCAUGCGUUCCAUUAGGCAGUUGGCGGGGUAACGGCCCACCAAACCGACGAUGGAUAGGGGUUCUGAGAGGAAGGUCCCCCACAUUGGUACUGAGACACGGACCAAACUCCUACGGGAGGCAGCAGUGAGGAAUAUUGGUCAAUGGGCGUAAGCCUGAACCAGCCAAGUCGCGUGAGGGAUGAAGGUUCUAUGGAUCGUAAACCUCUUUUAUAAGGGAAUAAAGUGCGGGACGUGUCCCGUUUUGUAUGUACCUUAUGAAUAAGGAUCGGCUAACUCCGUGCCAGCAGCCGCGGUAAUACGGAGGAUCCGAGCGUUAUCCGGAUUUAUUGGGUUUAAAGGGUGCGUAGGCGGCCUUUUAAGUCAGCGGUGAAAGUCUGUGGCUCAACCAUAGAAUUGCCGUUGAAACUGGGAGGCUUGAGUAUGUUUGAGGCAGGCGGAAUGCGUGGUGUAGCGGUGAAAUGCUUAGAUAUCACGCAGAACCCCGAUUGCGAAGGCAGCCUGCCAAGCCAUGACUGACGCUGAUGCACGAAAGCGUGGGGAUCAAACAGGAUUAGAUACCCUGGUAGUCCACGCAGUAAACGAUGAUCACUAGCUGUUUGCGAUACAGUGUAAG